rnacentral:ncRNA from 1 species
UAGACGGGGACUUGCACAAGCAGUGGAUUAUGUGGUUUAAUUCGAUGGUAAACGAAGAACCUUACCAGGGUUAGAAAUCCUAGUGAAAGCCCGCAGAAACGCGGGGCCUCGCAAGACUCUAGGGCAGGUGAUGCAUGGCCGUCGUCAGUUCGUGGUUUGAAUUGUUCCCUUAAGUGGGGUAACGAACGCAACCCUCGUUGUGUGUUACAAGUGUCACACGAUACUGCCCAGCCCCAAUUUUUUAAGACAAUAUUCUGUUUAGCGUAAUUUUACGUUGAGCAUGUAUUGCAAAGAAAAUUUUGUCUUUCAGACAAAUAUUUUUUAGAACUUAUUUUGAAAAAUUGGGGCUGGGAGGAAGGAGAGGAUGACGCCAGGUCAGCAUGUCCCUUGAUACCCUGGGCUACACACAUAAUACAAUGACCGUUACAACGCGCAGCGACGAGGCAACUCUGAGCUAAUCGUUCAAAAGCGGCCUCAGUUCGGAUUGGAGUCUGCAACUCGACUCCAUGAAGCUGGAAUUGCUAGUAAUCACAGGUCAGCUAAACUGUGGUGAAUACGUUCUCAAGUCUUGUACUCACCGCCCGUCAAGUCAAGGGAGCCGGGAGUACCCGAAAUCUCCACAUAAGUGGGGCCUAAGGUAAGCUCGGUGACAGGGACUAAGUCGUAACAAGGCACGGGUAGCGGAAGCUGCUCGUGGAAUAAUUCAAUU